GCUGGGUGUGGUGAUUACACCUGUAAUCCCAGCAGCUCGGGAGGCUAAGGCAGGAGGAUCGCGAGUUCAAAGCCAGCCUCAGCAACUCAGUGAGGUCCUAAGCAACUCGGCGAGACCCUGUAUCU
rnacentral:sRNA from 1 species